AAUUUACUGAGACACAUCAUUUCCUUUUAAAGGAAGCUGUUUUUUUUUCUUGCAACUGAUGACUAAUACAACCGUACUUGUUUAAUGUUUUGUUAUUGCGAAAUGUAUUAUGCAUCAGAUCAGUAGUACGUAGUAAUGACAUCAUUGUACGUAGUUUGUAAUGACAUUUCCCCCUUUGUGUAUAAGAUAACAUGUUAAGAUGUUCAUUCCUUGUUUGAAAGAAGCAGCCAUAGAAGCUUGAAGCCAACUCAACUUUGGUGUACAGAGAAGGGAAAUUUCUAAUAAGUUUCUUCUAACCAUGUCACAUAUCCAAGGACCACAUGUGAAGAAAUUACUGCCAUGUAUUUUAUUAAUGUUGACUGUGGGUGUUUCAAUGGGGCAGCGGAGAGUGCUCCAAAAAAGUGAGUGUUUAAAAAGUGAAUACUGGACUGAGGGGCUUUGUUGUCACAAAUGUCCUGAAGGGUAUAAGCUAACAAAGAGAUGCUAUAGCGGAAUGUCAACUCAAUGUGCAAAAUGUUCAGAAGGGACAUACCAAGACAAAAUGAACUAUUUCCCAAACUGCUUCAGAUGCCAGGAAUGUACUAAGAGAAGUCAUGCAGUGAUGAUUUCGCCGUGUACGUACCAAAGUAACACUGUUUGUGGAUGUCAAUCAGGAUACCGCAAAAAAAUGUUUGACAGUAUUUCAUGGGCUUGUGAGCCCUUUAAAAAGAGUGAUUACGUAUAACUUAAAACAAGAGGAGAGAAAUAUCAUCCAGGCUUCGUGAGACGGAAGUAAACAUGUCUAUCUCCAUCCAUGGUUCGGGCCUUAAUAAAAAAAAAGUUUGGGCACCCUCUCUUUUUUGUGGAUUUUGAAACCUGUAGUCACUUAACACUAAUUGUUUACAACACAAAAUUGAUUUAAGUGACUCGGUAAACAAUAACAAUCCUAACACAGGUGCAACAAAUCAUGAAAAAUUAUAUUUAAAACAGCUGAUUGCUAGUUGUUUGAACCAGAAUGUAGCAAAAUAAGAACCUCAAAAGAACUUCCCAAUGACCCAAAACUAGAAUAAUUCUUCAACAUGAAUGUUGAACAGAAGGAUACAAAAAGGUAUAUACAAAAGUUUGAAGUCUCUAUAUCCAUAAUCGGAAAUCUAGCAACAAAAUGGAAGGCCACAGGAACAGUUCUUGUAAAGGGAAGAUGUGGUAGGCCAAGAAAAAUAUAUAAAAAGGCAAAGGUGAAGAAUGGUUAGAAUGAUCACAUACAAACCACAGACCACAUUCAAAGUGCUCAUCUUGCUGCUGAUAAUGUCAUUGUACAUCACUUCAACGUCCAGCACACUCUUCACAAAAAAAACAGUUCAAUGGAAGGUGAUGCAAAAAAAGCCUUUUCUGCCUUCUACAAACAAGAAGAAUCAUUUGGGGUGUGCAAAGACUCAUCUAGACAAGCCUGAAUCAUUUUGGAAAAAAUAUACUGUGGACAGAUGCCACUACUAUAGAAGCUUUGCAUGGCUAAAAAGAACACCGCAUUCCAGGGGAUGAACAUGCUCUACUGUAAAAUAUGACGGAGGGUCCGUCAUGCAGUGGGAAUGUGUGGCAAGCACAGUUACAGGAAACCUUGUAAGAGUUUAAAGUCACAUGGAUUCCACCCUGUAUUAGCAGAUUCUUAAGAACAAUGUUCAAGAGGCUGAAGUUACGCCAGGGUUGGAUGUUUCAGCAGGACAAUGACCCAAAGCACAGUUCCAGAUUUACUGAGGAAUUCAUGCUCAGACACGACACAAUAAAUGACCAUCCCAGUCCUUAGAAUUGAACAUCAUCAAAAAUAGAUUGAUUUGAAAAGGGCUGUUCAUGCUCAGCACACACCAAACCUCAAUGAACUGGAGAAUUUUCAGCAAACAAUCAGGGACUUAUCCUUGGCUAUAAUAAGUGCCUACAGCUUUUUAUUAUUAUUACAGCUUAGGCAGUUAUUACAGCAAAAGAUGGCUGUACAAAAGGUUGAUGUCAUUAUUAUGUUGAGGUGCCCAAAUUUUUGCACCUGUCUGUCUUUGUUAAAUGUAAAAUGUUGCUUUCUUUCUGGGGUAUGAAAUAUAUCCAAAUGAAAUUGCUGAUUUGAAAGGCUAGCAGGCUAUGGCUUGCAAUUAUGAAAAUGAUCAUGGGUAAUCAACUUUUGCAUAAAACUGUACUUCUGUAUAGUUUAUGGCAGCUACUGUUUGUCAACUGCAUGAACUUGGACUUUCUUCAUGCUGUAAUCAUGUUUUGUUGUCUGGUUGAUAAUUUAUACUUUUUAUUAAAUGUGGAAUAGUAAAUAUAAUUUUCUGUAUAACUCUAAAAAUGUCCAUGUAAAGUUAAGUAUACAUUUGCUGUGAAAAAAAGAUGUUUUAUAAAGAACACAUAAGAAUAA